rnacentral:lncRNA from 1 species
CAAGCCUUCUCUCCACUAGCCCGAUGGUCUUCAAUGUGCUCUGACCCCCACAGUCCCCAGUAAGUUGUAGAGCACUUGAGAGUCCUGCUGAAAAUAAAUACAACCUGCCCUGUGUGUCUCCACCACAAGAGGAGCAGGCGGCAGGGGUAAGAACUGGCUUCUCUGGGGGACCUUCUCCAAAGGACACCAUUUAUUUACUCAGCAAAUAUUUACUGAGCAAAAUGGGAGGAGGCAGUGCAUUCCAGGGAGAGAGAACAGUUUGAAAGAAGCUAAAGAAGAACGAAAAAUGGGCAUGUAUGGAGUCCAGUGAGUAGUGAAAUUCAGGAGAUAAAAUCUGGAAGAGAGGAGAAAAUCAAUCAAGAAGAGCUUGAAUGCUUGGCAAAGGAAUUUGGGCAUAUUUCAACAGGCAAGGAGGAGCCAAAGAAAGAUUUUGAGCAAGAGAUGGACACAAUCAAAAUAGCUCAUUAGGAAAAAUAAUUUGACAGUAGUGUCUAAAAUGGACUGUGAUAAAGAAUAAUCAUAUCAUGCAGCCAGCAAUGAUUGAGUACUUACUAUGCACCCAACACCAUGCCAAGCCCUUUAUGCACAUUGUUUCAUUCAAUAAAAGCAAUACAUAAUGCAUUCAAGACUCAGUGCCUAGCACAUGGUGUUUUCCAAUCCUUGCAAUCAUCCUAUGAGUUCAAUAUUAUUAUUAUCUCACUUUUACAGAUAUUGCUUGAGGAGCGAAGAGGUUAAAUAUGUAUACACAAGGUCAAAAAGUAAUAAGUAGCUGAGCCAGGAUUUAAACUCAGGUUGGUCUGACUCCAAAACUGACUCUCAAGGAAGGGAGAUGUUAGGAAGCAAUUGCAAAAGUCCUGACAAGGGGGCCGACCCCGUGGCCAAGUGGUUAAGUUCUCGUGCUCCGCUUUGAUGGCCUGGGGUUUCGCUGGUUCAGAUCCUGGGCACGGACAUGGCACUGCUCAUCAGGCCACGUUGAGGCAGUGUCCCACGUGCUACAACUAGAAGGACCUGCAACUAAGAUAUACAACAAUGUACUGGGGGGAUUUGGGGAGAUAAAGCAGAAAAAACAAAAGAUUGGCAACUGGUGCCAGGUGUUAGCUCAGGUGCCAAUCUUUACCAAAAAAAAAGUGCUGACGAGUGAUGAUGAACUGGAGGAGAGGCAGGAGAGAAGGAAAAGAGAAAAUGGAUGUACAACUAAAUUUGGAUACCCAGCAGACAUGACAUAACAAUUGAUUGAUAGACUAGUAGAGAGAGAGAAUGGUCAAAGAUGGCCCAAGUUCUGGAGCAUGGUUGGCCAACAGAAAGAUGGCACAAUAAUGAAAAUCAAGAACAUAAGAGCUGCACUAUCAACCGGAUCUCUUUGUUUUCUUCUUCUGUUUUGAAUCCACACCUAAAAUGGGACAAAAUCUACCAGCCAGAAUAACCUGAUUGAGAAAUCAGCCAUAACUGGUUUUCUUGGCUGUAGACUCUUCAGGAAAGAAUGUGAAGUAUUUUUCCCACAUCCUCCCAGGAGGGCCACCAGGGGCUCCAGUCCUGGAGGUCGAGGAGCAUUGGAGCUGGUUCUGCAGUUGGGGAGUGGGAGUAGCCUUACCUGUCGGACAGUGACUUCCAGUAUCUGAGAAGAGGGUGGGAGAUCAUGAGCGUCCACAAGUGGCAGAAGUUGAGAUCCAAAUGGAACACACACACCCUCCCACCUCCCAGGAUGGCAAAACCUGGUACAGAGAUGGCUGUAAGGAGGAGGCUGGAAGAAAGACCACUAAGUGGCCAGUUAUUGGGCAAAGCCACUGUGAGUGGGCAGCUCACCAGCCUGCCUGGAGAAGCAGUGCCCACAGACAGGAAGCACCAGCAUUCAGCAAGGAGCACAAGGAGCAACUGUAACUGUGGCCAUCUCUACUGAAUAAGGACCAGCUGCCCCAGUUCUACAAGAUCGAGUCCUUUGCUUGUUUGGGAGAUUUUUUGUGCCUUUUGUUUUUGUAAAAUCCAACGUUCCGAGGGAAGAAGCCCUAAUAAUGACAUUAAAUUUCUCACUAACUGUGGAUGGGACUUGGGACCAGAUUUAAAUAAACUUGGACAAAUAAAGAACAUUGG